AGAGUUUGAUCCUGGCUCAGGAUGAACGCUGGCGGCGUGCCUAACACAUGCAAGUCGAGCGAUCUUCUUCAGAAGAGAGCGGCGGACGGGUGAGUAACGCGUGGGUAACCUGCCUCAUACACAUGGAUAACAUACCGAAAGGUAUGCUAAUACAAGAUAAUAUAAGAGAUUCGCAUGGAUUUCUUAUCAAAGCUCCGGCGGUAUGAGAUGGACCCGCGUCUGAUUAGCUAGUUGGUAAGGUAACGGCUUACCAAGGCGACGAUCAGUAGCCGACCUGAGAGGGUGAUCGGCCACAUUGGAACUGAGACACGGUCCAAACUCCUACGGGAGGCAGCAGUGGGGAAUAUUGCACAAUGGGCGAAAGCCUGAUGCAGCAACGCCGCGUGAGCGAUGAAGGCCUUCGGGUCGUAAAGCUCUGUCCUCAAGGAAGAUAAUGACGGUACUUGAGGAGGAAGCCCCGGCUAACUACGUGCCAGCAGCCGCGGUAAUACGUAGGGGGCUAGCGUUAUCCGGAUUUACUGGGCGUAAAGGGUGCGUAGGUGGUUUCUUAAGUCAGGAGUGAAAGGCUACGGCUCAACCGUAGUAAGCUCUUGAAACUGGGAAACUUGAGUGCAGGAGAGGAAAGUGGAAUUCCUAGUGUAGCGGUGAAAUGCGUAGAUAUUAGGAGGAACACCAGUAGCGAAGGCGGCUUUCUGGACUGUAACUGACACUGAGGCACGAAAGCGUGGGGAGCAAACAGGAUUAGAUACCCUGGUAGUCCACGCCGUAAACGAUGAGUACUAGGUGUCGGGGGUUACCCCCCUCGGUGCCGCAGCUAACGCAUUAAGUACUCCGCCUGGGGAGU
rnacentral:rRNA from 1 species